AUUUAUUAAUUUGUCAUUACACAAACAAUACAUGAAUGCAUACUCAAAAACAUCGAAUAUUACAGUUAAAGCUAAUGCACUCCACCAAACUACUGUUAACAGUUUGGUUAGUAUCCUUCCAGACCUUCUCUGUACAUUUUUAUAAUAUACAAAUAGGUACUUAAGAAGUACACUAUACAGUAUUUGUGUGUGUGUGUGUUUUAAAAUCAAUGGUAUCACAUGUAUUGCAUGUAUUAGCCUUCAUUUUCCCCCAAACUUAAAAAAAAUUAUUGUAUCUUAGAGACCUUUCCAUGUCAGUAUGCGUAUGAAUCUUACUCUUUUUCAUUGAUGCCCAGUAUUGUAUAUUGUUCCAUCCUCUUGAUUUUUUUUUUAACAAUUUUAUUCUAUUACAAAGGUACACUUGACACCAUUGUACACGCCACCCUGUGAAAACAGGUAUGAAAAGUGUUUCAUUAAAAAACGGAAAUGUUGGGUGAGAGGGCAUUUGAAUUUUAAAUUUUAGUGGGGACCAUUCGAUUGCCUUUAAAGGUAGCUGUGCCAAUUUACACAUUCCCUAACAAUGUAGGAUUCCUGUUUUUCCACACCCUGGCAAGACUUGUGACUUACAUAUAUUUUAAAUAUUUGCCAAUUGGAUUUGAGAUACUUUCUUAUUUUUUUAAGUAAGUGCAUUUCCCUUAUUCUGCUGAGGUCGGGCCUCUCUUCAUAAUUUUGUAAAACUUUUUGCUUAUCCGCCUUUUCACAGGGAGAUUUCUAUAAGGGAUAUGUGACCAAAAAGCCUAAGACCUCCUGCUUGUCUAGCUGGAAUUACUUUUUGUGAGCUAGAGAUCUCAAUUUUUUUUCCCCCAAAUAGUUAUGUCAUCUCAAUACUAUUUGUUGAAUAAUCCAUUCUCCCCCUACUGAUUUGAAAUGUUACUUUUAUCCUUUACUCAGUACAAAGUUGUUUCUGGAUUCUCAGCUCUAUCAGAUUUAUUUUUGGCAUCAGGCACCUGAGUUAUUCUUAACUUGGUUCGUUGAAUGGUAGCUGAUUUUGUCAGCCAAGAUAGUGAGUGUGUUCCUUAUGAGACAAUAGAUAAUAUAACUCAUGACACACAAAUUCUAUUCUAGUUAAGUUUGAUUUAAAUCAGUUCCAUUAUCUACAAACUUAGAAUAUUAAAAAAUGUGUAAACUUCUCUCUUUUAGGGGACGCCUCACAGGCUCGCUGUAGAGAUAGGAAGCUUUUCACCAAGUCCCCUCGUUUUAAAAGUAUUGUUUGAUGUUAAAGCUUUUUGGUGAUUUAAAGUUGUUUCCUGGCAAUGUCAAAGGGUUUCAUGUGGCAUGGCAAUAUCCCUGUUGAUUUACAUGAACCUUUCAUUCAACAGAUUAUAUGAGGUCCACAAACCAUGACACAUACUUUGAAUAAGCAAUGGCACUUUAGUUUUUGCUUUUACAUUGGACGAUAGCUCCUGGAGUGCACAAAUCAUGUUCCAUUUAUCUUCCUAUCCCCCAAUAUCUAGUCCAGGGUGCAGCACCUGAAUUGAAAUAGAAUUGAAGUGCAUUUCGACAAUGUUUCUAUAAAAUAAAAAAAUAAAACCCAAACUUCUCAAAAAGCAAAAACCUUGAGGGGAUUUACAAAGUUACAUGUACUUAUUUUUCUGUCCAUCAGACACCUGAUUAAAUUACAUAUUAUUAUGUAUUUUAGUAGAAACACUAGAAUAAGACACUGACCUGAUAUUAUUUCAUGCCAAGUGUGAGAAAAAUAUUCCUUUGCUGUCCAUGGACGUCCUCAGGUGUGAUCUAUCUAUAGAUGAGAUGCUUGUCUGUGAAACGAUAAGAAGUGUGAUCUGGAAAACAGUUGGAUUGCACUGGGCAAGAAUACUGUACAGUUGUUAUAUAGAAAAAUGAAAAGGUAACAACUUUUUUUUCUGGGGGGGGGGGAACAGAAGUGCGGCAUUUGCCCUAUUUUAAAAUUCAGUUACUUUUAUGAUCUAAGUUGGCACACCUUUUCCUUCCCCCUAUCAAGGAGGUAACUGGCUUCUGUGGGCAAUGUCUUUGUCCGUAAAUUUAGAUGCUCUGUUUUAUAGCUCAAACCAUGGCAUCAGAUCAUGGGAAAAUGCUCAAAACUGCCCAAUCUAUCAGUUUCUCUGGUGAGAAGAAGAAAAAAAAAAUAAAGCUAACUCGCUCUGUGGAACAAAUUUUAUGACCAAGUAGACUGUGUCGGUGCAAAAUACCAACUUCAUACUUUACUCUUACCAAUCCUGUCUUACUUUUAUUUAUGAUGAUUCUUGAAAAAAAAAAAAGUCUAUGACCUUUAACUUGCUUUGUACAGUACCUCACUUAGCAUCUUUCAUCUGCGAACAAAGCAGGUUAGACCAAUUAUAUCCCACCAAGGAGAUCAUUAAAUAGCACUUGUGCAGUAAUAUUCUCUGCUGACAAAGGAAUACAUACAUUCAAAGAACACAUUUUGCUAUAGAAAUUCUGUGACUUCAGCAUAGAAAUACAUGUAACAGGGAAGCAACCUAGACGAUUGAAAAGGAGAAAAUAGGGCGCAAAUAUACGUCACUAAACAAGAAGUCCUUAGUAUUGCUAGAAAAUAGAAACAGGAGUUCCGAGGUUUGAGGCGGCCGGAGGUGGGGAGACAGGUGGUUUUGCUAGGCAGCAGACUCCCAGGAAAGAGAAGCCCUCCUGGGUCGAACCGUGUCAAAGAAUGAAUUAAAGUCGAAGCCAGCAAAACCUAUUUUGACUUGGGUUUCGGUAUCUGCAGCGGGGCCAGAACCCGCAUUCUCCUUUUUGGGGAGGGAUAGCCCUGAACGGCAGGCUUGGGACUCCUGCUUCUGGGCCGCUCUAAUCCUAGUCACCAUAAAAGGACUAAGUUUGGUUUACCUGCGGGGAUGAACUGACUGAGGCAUAAAUGUGAUAGCCAGGGUUCCUCCAUUCUCCUUACCCUUUUGCC
rnacentral:lncRNA from 1 species